UGUGAAUGUAUGUUCACCCUCUUCCAUCUCAUAGAUCUGAAUUGCUUUCUAUGAAAUACGUGUUACGUGGGUAUGCCUCAUCUGUUAUGUGGAAUAUAUAUUGAAUGAAAAUGAUAUACAGGUUUUAAACUAUGUAUGAAAGUAUAUAUUUUAUCUACUAAUAUGUUGGGUAGAACAUGGGUAGAUAGUUGGUGUGUAAUAAACAGAUGAGAGGCCUCGAUGUUGUUGUUGUUGUUGAUCUAGUUAUUCAGCGGAGUAUGGAUAACGACCACGGACUCUUUCUAGACAGUCCAGUGGAACGCUAGCAGGUUCAUAACCUGUAGGUGUUGUGAACGAUGUGUUCACCGGUGUACUCUAUCCCCCUCAUGGUUGCCUUUAGGAUAUCUAUUGUUGAGGAAACCCCUUCGCAGUGAUGUCCGUCCCGAUGAAAAUCCUAGAUUAGGUCCCUUGAGAUAGUUGUUUUAGGGACGUAAAGUGAGGAUAACGGGAAUGGGUAAUCGGGAUAGUGAUUGGUUGGUGAAAUUAAAUAUAACUUAUUUAUUGUGGGUUGAAAACCCUAUAUGCUCACCAGGCUCCCAAGCCUGACCCACUCAGUUUUAUUUGUAUUACAGGAAGUGGCACAAGGGCGUAAGAUGGAUGGAUCAUCUUGUUGUUUUGUUUACAAGUCUGUAUAUGUAUAUAUUUGUUGAAUGACUUGUAAUGUUUAUCGUUUAUGCUUUAUGGUCUGUAUCGGAACAUGACAUCCCGAGUUUUGAUUAUAUAAUGAAAUGCAUCUCUUGAUGAAAUGCUUUGAUAAAUAUUAUUUUAUCAUGUUUUGUUUUGGGAACAAAUUCCGCAACUCUUUCAAAUCAAAAGGAUUUACUCUGAAAAUAUUUAAAAGCAUAAAUGAAAAUCGGUCUUUUCUGGCCGAGAUUUUGGGGAUGUCACAGUUGGUAUCAGAGCAUUAGUUUAAGCGAACUAGGAAUUUGUAGGAUUUCUAGACUUAAACUUAGAAUGCUAAGUGGAAUUUUGAGAUGUGUGUCUGUUGGAUUUUAGACACGAGCACUAGUUUAUUUUAGGAAAGUUGCCUAAAAUGCUUUUAUGUGCUAAAUGUUAUAUGUUGCCAUAUAUGAUAUUAUUUGUUCGGAUCUACGGUUUGUUGCCAACCGGAUCUGAAGGUUUAUGUGUUUAGGAUUCUAAGCGUAUGUAUACGAUAUUAGAACUAGCAUGUAAUCGUUUGGAGUAAUAAGGUGAAAUUAUUCGGUGUGUAGAUCAAAAAUGGUGAGAACAAGGAGUGGCGUUGGAAACGCAGAUGAAAACAGGAAUCAACCGCCAGUGAUUGAGCAAAUACCUGUUGUAGCAGCAGCACCAGAACCAAUAACAAUGGCUGCGGUGCAAGCCAUGAUUCGGGCUAUGCUAGCCGAACAAAGGGAGGAGAUGCGACAAAUGUUGCAUAAUAAUAGGGAUGAACCUGUCAUACCUAUUGAGGAACCUGAAUUGAUUCCCGAGCAAUCGGAGGAAGGGAACAAUAGUCGCAUGGUGAGUCAAGUUGGGACUCAAGAGGAACGAAGGAACGAUCCAGAAAGGAGAAACAACAAGGAUGGGCGUAUGUACAAGAAUUUCUUGGGCGCCAAACCGCCAAGUCUUUCUGGGAGCCCAAAGCCUGUUGAGAUAAUGGAUUGGAUCUCCGAAAUGGAGAUGGUAUUUGAAAGUUGCGACUGUAGCAACAAACAGAAGACCGUCUUUGCGGUUAGACAACUGAAGACUGGAGUCUUGAGUUGGUGGAAGUUGUUGGCAGAUACUAUGCCACGAGGAGAAGCCCUGAAAAUGUCAUGGGAGGAGUUCUUGGAACAGUUAAGGGUGCAGUAUUGUUCGGAGAUAGAUCUGAUUGAUCUGAACAAUGAGUUUCAAAACUUAAAGAAGGGGAAGAUGAGCAUAGAUGACUAUGCUACUGCAUUUACUGAGAAGAUGAAGUUGUUUCCGUACCUAGUGCCAACGGAACUCUCCAAGAUUGAGAGGUUUGCUAACGGACUGCCUGCUGACUUUGGUCCGACAGUCAAAAUGGCAACCACUCUGAAAACGGCUGUUCGUGCAGCUAAGAAUGUGGAGGCCCAGCAGAAGGAAAAGGGUCUGGAAAGAAUAGAUGUUGGAGAAAAGAGGAAGUUCGAUGGAACUUCAGGGUCCAACAAGAAAAACAAGUUCUCGAAGUCUGGUUCGAGGGGAGGUGGAGGUGAAGCGAAAUGGUGCGACAAAUGUAAGAAGAAGCAUCAUGGAAGAUGUGAGGUGGCGAACACAUGCUACAAGUGUGGAAAGCCAGGGCACUAUGCCAAUGAGUGUACCCUCACAAAGAAAGUUUGCUAUGGUUGUGGUGAGGAGGGUCAUAUGUCGAGGGACUGCCCGAAGAAGAAGGAGGCAGCUAGACCCAACAUUCCGCCAAAGCCAAAGGCGAGAGCAUUCCAGAUGACACUGGAAGCUGCUAAAGAUGAAGCUGAUGUCGCUUCAGGUACCUUUCUCGUUAACGAAUUGCCUGCCCAAAUUUUAUUUGAUUCUGGAGCCAACUACUCCUUUAUAUCGCAUGAAUUUGGUAGAAAGCUAGCUUUGCCUGUUGUUAGACUAGAUAAUGCUUUAUUAGUCGAAGUUGCUAGUGGCAAGUUUGUACCUGUUAGCUAUCGCAUGAAAAACAUCUUAAUUGAUCUGAAUGGGAAUAAGUUCCACGAGGAAUUAUUGCCUAUCGAACUUAAUGGUUUCGACAUCGUAUUGGGAAUGGAUUGGCUUAGCGCCAACGACGCCGAAAUUUUAUGCAAGAAGAAAAUAGUCAAAGUAAACCCGCCUGGGAAAGAUUCGUUUAUGGUGUAUGGAGAUAAACGCAGAGUGAAUUCUGGAAUCAUUUCAUUGAUGAAAGCCAGAAAAUGUUUGACCAAGGGGUGUACAUCGUAUUUAGCAUUCGUGAUUGAUGCUAAGAAGGAAAAGAAGGUGAUGCAGAAUAUUCCAGUGGUGUGUGAUUAUCCGGAAGUAUUUCCCGAAGAUCUUCCUGGAUUACCGCCUGAUCGACAAGUGGAAUUCCGUAUUGACUUGUUGCCAGGAACAACGCCAAUUGCGAAAGCACCUUAUCGAUUAGCACCGACGGAGAUGAAGGAGCUAAUGAUGCAACUUCAGGAGUUAUUGGACAACGGUUUCAUUAGACCUAGUUCAUCGCCCUGGGGAGCUCCGGUGUUAUUUGUAAAGAAGAAAGAUGGAAGUAUGAGAAUGUGCAUCGAUUACAGAGAGCUGAACAAGGCAACAAUAAAGAAUAGAUAUCCGUUGCCGAGGAUUGAUGACCUGUUUGAUCAAUUGCAAGGUUCGAGCUAUUUCUCGAAGAUCGAUCUUAGGUCAGGAUAUCAUCAGCUAAAAGUAAGAGAGCAAGAUAUCGAGAAGACUGCAUUCAGAACUAGAUAUGGACACUACGAGUUCUUGGUUAUGUCGUUUGGACUAACCAAUGCUCCAGCAGCGUUCAUGGAUUUGAUGAAUAGGGUUUGUAACCCGUUCCUUGAUAAAUCCGUGAUAGUGUUCAUAGACGACAUUCUGAUUUACUCGAAAAGCCAGGAGGAGCAUGGCAGACACUUGCGAGAAGUGUUAGAAGUUUUGAAGAAGGAGAAGCUGUAUGCUAAGUUCUCCAAAUGUGAUUUUUGGAUUCGUGAAGUCCAAUUCUUGGGUCACGUGGUCAACCAAGAAGGGAUAAUGGUUGAUCCAGCGAAGAUCGAAGCUGUGACGAAGUGGGAACAACCGAAAAGUCCCACGGAGAUUCGAAGCUUUUUAGGAUUAGCCGGAUAUUACCGAAGGUUUAUCCAAGGCUUUUCUUCGAUCGCUAGUCCAUUGUCAGCUUUGACCCACAAAGGAGCUACUUAUGCUUGGGGUGAGAAGCAUAAGGAAGCAUUUGAGAAGCUAAAGGAGAAGCUAUGCGAGGCACCGAUACUUUCUCUACCCGAUGGAGUUGAAGACUUCGCUGUCUAUAGCGAUGCGUCUGGUGUUGGAUUGGGUUGUGUUUUGACCCAAAGAGAAAAGGUGAUAGCAUAUGCGUCUCGACAGCUGAAAGAGCAUGAAAAGAAUUACCCGACUCAUGAUUUGGAGUUGGCAGCGGUAGUUUUCGCUCUGAAAAUAUGGAGGCAUUACCUCUAUGGCACGAAGUGCAAACUUUUCACUGAUCAUAAGAGUCUCCAAUACCUCUUUAAUCAGAAAGAAUUGAAUAUGAGGCAACGACGCUGGCUAGAAUUACUUAAAGACUAUGACUGCGAGAUACUUUACCACCCCGGUAAAGCUAAUGUUGUUGCUGAUGCUCUCAGUCGGAAAGUCAAUCCCGAAAGGAAAAGGCCAAGAGCGUUGAGAAUUGAAGUUGUCUCAACUAUUUUGGAAAGUAUAAAGAAAGCUCAGAGCGAAGCUUCUGAGAAGAAUGACAGAAAGGAGGAACGUUUGGGCAAAACGUUGGUGUUCGGUGUAAACAGUCAUGGACUGAAGGUGUUCCAAGAUCGGAUUUGGAUACCUAAGACAGGAGGAGUCAGAGAUCUUCUGAUGGAAGAAGCUCACAAGACCAUGUACUCGAUUCAUCCGGGUAGCACUAAAAUGUAUAGGGACCUGAAACCCUACUACUGGUGGCCGACGAUGAAGCUUGAUGUUGCAAAGUAUGUGGCCGAGUGUGUGACUUGUGCGAGAGUCAAGACACAACAUCAGAAACCGUACGGGAGUUUAGAACCUUUGCCUGUGCCUAUGGGUAAGUGGGAAGACAUUGCUAUGGAUUUUGUCACUAAACUGCCCAGAACAAAGAAUGGUCACGACAUGAUUUGGGUGGUCGUUGAUCGAUUCACUAAGAGUGCGCAUUUCAUAGCGGCCAGGGAGAAAUGGUCUAUGGAGAAGCUUGCGAAUUCUUACGUGAAGGAAAUUGUGAGGCUUCACGGUGUUCCGUUAACGAUUGUGUCGGAUCGUGAUAGCCGUUUCACAUCGAGGUUUUGGAAAAGUCUACAAGAGGAAUUGGGUACCAAGUUGUGUUUAAGUACAGCUUACCAUCCGCAGACUGAUGGUCAGAGCGAACGAACGAUACAAACACUUGAAGAUAUGCUGAGAGCAUGUACUCUGGAAUUCCUAGGUAAUUGGGAUGAACAUUUACCGUUGGUAGAAUUUUCCUAUAAUAAUAGUUUCCACUCGAGCAUUAAGAUGGCACCUUACCAAGCUUUGUAUGGACAGAAGUGUCGUACGCCGUCUUGUUGGCUUGAGGCUGGGGAAAAGCAGUUUAUGGGACCGGAGUUGGUUCAUCAAACUGCUGAAAAGUUGAAAAUAAUUAGGGAAAGAAUGUUAGCAGCUCAGGAUCGUCAAAAGAGCUAUGCUGACAAGAAGCGGAGACCGAUAACUUUUGAGGUUGGGGAUUCGGUUUUGCUUAAAGUCUCGCCGUGGAAGGGACUUAUAAGAUUUGGUAAAAGGGGAAAGUUGAGUCCAAGGUUUAUUGGACCGUUUAAAGUUCUUCAGAGGAUUGGGAACCAAGCUUACAAGCUCGAAUUACCCGAAGAACUGAAUGGAAUUCACAACACUUUUCAUGUGUGUUAUUUGAGGAAGUUCACGGGAGAAGUUCCCGAUAUAAUUCCAAUUUCUGAAUUGAGAAUUGAUGAGAACAAAAGGUUGAUUGAAGAACCAGAGGCAAUUGUUGACCGAAAGACUAAGAAGUUGCGACGCAAAAUGGUUGGGUUAGUGCUUGUCCGAUGGAAACACACGAAUGGGCCGAAUCUCACCUGGGAGACGGAGAGUGACAUGUUGAGUCGCUAUCCGCAUUUGUUUGUUGAUGUGUGAUUCCGGGGACGGAAUCAUUCUAAGGUGGAGAGAAUUGUAACGCCUGUGUUUCCGGGCUUGCCAUUUUUAGCAAUGUAAUAGUCUAGGUUAACCUUUGUAACCCGUUUUGAAAUAAUAAGAUUGUAUUAUUUGAGUAUUAUGUGUUUUGUGCUUAAUUGCUUAAUUAUGUGGUUUGAUUAAUUAAGAAUAAAAAUAAGCGUCAAAAUUUAAGUGUAAAAUAAACUUAAUAUCUUUGGUUAAUGUUGUAGUAGUUGAAACGAGGUUUCCGAAUAUAUAUAGAACGCCCAAAUCUGACUUCGUAUGAGGAAGUUAUGAUUUAUCGAAGUUCCGGCUUAGCGGUAUACAGCCUGUUUUACUCGAUUUGAGAUCGAGCGGUUGUUAGCCGAAGCAAUCUAAAUGAGAAUCGAAGAUCUCAUUGUUGGUAUCGAAGCGAUAAAAAGUUAGGCGAGAACGGACGUCAAACGAAGAAGUUAUGAAUUUAUAACGAAAGUUUCUGUCGCGGCCUAUUAAAAAUAAUUAAUAAAAAUAAAGUCAAAAUUAGCCGACGGAGUCUAAACGAAAGUCGUAGAGCGUGGUCUCACCUUUCCGUGGAUAUAAAGAACGUCGAAAACGGAGUUCGUAUGAAGAAGUUAUGAAUUUCCGAAGUUUAUUAAUCAUUUUGUAUUUAUAUUUAAAUCAAAAUUCGGAAGCAUUAUCCGAAGGAGUCACCGAUCUGAUCCGAGGUACGCCCCGCGUACUCGAGUACGCCCCGCGUACUCCGAGGGAUGUCGACACUCGCACUCGAGCACUUCGGAUACGUAAGCAAUGACGUUUUGGGCAGUACGCCCCGCGUAACGCAGUACGCCCCGCGUACUCCGAGGCUCCAGCCUCCUAUAAAUAGGAUGCGAGGGUUCCGGGUAUUUUUGCCAAUUCCCUCUCGUUUUCGUGUCGAAGCUCUGUGCAAAAACCCCCGAAGCUACCCCGAAGUCCCGGUAUCAUACUCUAGCCCCGAGGCAAGUCCCGAGAUCCCGAAGAUCCCGAAAAGUGCGGUUCCCGAGUCGAAGCUCUGCCCGCGAGAAGUUCGAUUUUCGAGGAGAUCUUCCAGAUCUGCUGUGGAUUACUACUUCUAUAAGCCGUAGUGCUGUCCGAUCAUCUUCUGAUCAAGUGAGUGUGUAGUUAUUUCUUCUAAUACAAUAAUACGAAGUAUUUUAUAUAAAAAUACGUGCUAUGUGUAUAUAUUUGGUUGUGUUAUGUGUGAAUGAGUAUUCACUCUCUUCUAUCUUAUAGAUCUGCUUAUUUCUUUAUGAGAUAUGUGUUAUGUGUGUGUGUGCCUCAUCUGUUAUGUGAUAUAUGUGUUGAUUAAAGCAUGCUAUACAGGUUUUCUUUAAACUAUGUAUACAAAUGUAUAUUUUUAUCUACUAAUAUGUUGGGUAGAACAUGGGUAGACAGUUGGUGUGUAAUAAACAGAUGAGAGGCCUCGUUGUUGUUUGAUUGAGUCAUCUAGCGGAGUUUAGAUGACGACCACUGGCUAUUCUAGACAGUCUUGUGGAAACAUUAGCAGGUUCGCCACCUGUAGGUGUUAAUGAACUUGGGUGUUCAUUCGCUGUACUCCAUCCCCCUCAUGGUUGCCUUAUUUGACUUAUAUUGCUGAGGUACCCCCGAAGCAUGUGUUGUCGCCCCGAUGAAAUAUUCUUAGACUAGGUCCCUUAUGUUAGUUGUUUUAGGGACAUUAAAGUGAGAAUAACGGGAAUGGGUAAUUGGGUUAUUGUUGGUUGGUGAAAAUUAAAUAUGAUAUUUAUUGUGGGUUGAAAACCCUAUAUGCUCACCAGGCUCCCAAGCCUGACCCACUCAGUUUUAAAUUGUAUUACAGGUAGUGGCGGAAGGGCAUGAGAUGGAUGAACCAUCAAGUUGUUUUGUUUACAAGUCUGCAUAUGUUUAUAUUUGUUAUAUGACUUGUAAUGUAUUCGUUUAUGCUUAUUGGUCUGUAUCGGAACAUGACACCCCGAGUUUUGAUUAUAAUGAAAAUACAUUUCUUUUAUGAAAUGCUUCGGUAAACAAUGUUUUAUCAUGUUUUGUUUUUGGGAACAAAUUCCGCAACUCUUUCAAAUCAAAAGGAUUUACUCUGAAAAUAUUUAAAAGCAUAAAUGAAAAUCGGUCUUUUCUGGCCGAGAUUUUGGGGAUGUCACAGUUGGUAUCAGAGCAUUAGUUUAAGCGAACUAGGAAUUUGUAGGAUUUCUAGACUUAAACUUAGAAUGCUAAGUGAAGUUUUGAGAUGUGUGUCUGUUGUGAUUUAGACACGAGCACUAGUUUAUUUUAGGAAAGUUGCCUAAAAUGCUUUAUGUGCUAAAUGUUAUAUGUUGCCAUAUAUGAUAUUAUUUGUUCGGAUCUAUGGUCUGUUGCCGACCGGAUCUAGAAACCUUAUGUGUGUAGGAUUCUAAGCGUACGUCUACGAUAUUAGAACUAGCAUGUAAACGUUUCGGAGUGAUAAGGAUGAUUUGAAUAUCUAUCAUGAUUGAGGAUCUAAUUUCACCUUAUUCGGUGUAGAUCAAAAUGGUGAGAACAAGAAGUGGAGUUGGAAAUGCUGACGAAAACAGGAAUCAACCACCAGUGAUUGAGCCAAUACCUGUCGUAGCAGCAGCACCUGAGCCAAUAACCAUGGCUGGUGUGCAAUUGAUGAUUCAGACGAUGUUGGAUCGUCAGAUGGAUGAAACUAGACGGUUGCUUCAACAAAAUCGUGAAGAACUGUCGAUUCGUGUGGAAGAGCCUGAACUGAAUGAAGGGCACUCGGAAGGUGGAAACUUCAGUGGGUCUGUUGGUCCAGCCAACCCACCGAUAGUUAGGCAAGAUAACCAUGAUGGAAGGAAUGAUGGAAUGGGAUGCAAGUACAAGGACUUUUUGACUUGUAAACCAUCGACCUUCAAUGGAAAGGAGGAUCCGAUUGGGGUUAUGGAUUGGAUCUCCGAAAUGGAGUUAGCCUUUAUGACAUGUGGCUGUAGAGGCAAGUUGCAGACUAUCUAUGCCGUGCGACAAUUCCGAGGUGGAGCCGUUCGUUGGUGGAACACUCUAGGGAAGACCUUAAGCCCUAAUGAGCCACUGCAAUUGUCAUGGGCAGAGUUCUUGGUGCAGUUCAAGCGCAAGUUCUGCUCGGCUCAAAAUCUGUUGGAGUUGGAGAACAAGUUUUUGACAUUGACGAAGGGUAGCAUGUCAGUGGAUGAGUACACCAAUAACUUCACCGAUAAGAUGGAGUUUGCCUUGCGUAUCGUUCCAGACGAGCUGACAAAGGUGGAUCGGUAUGCGAAGGGACUUCCAUGGGAGUACGAGGUGCCGGUACGUCAGGCACUUACUCUAGAGGCAGCUAUCUGGGCUGCCAAGUCUGUGGAGAACAUGAUCAAGGGGAGAACCACCGUCAAGGUUGAGGUUGGUGAGAAAAGGAAGUUUGAAGGAACAUCUGGUUCCAGUAAGAAGAGCAAAUUUUCGAAAUCUGAUUCGAAAAAGUUUGGAGGAAAAGGAGGCGAAGCAAAGUGGUGUGAUAAGUGUAAGAAAAAGCACUUUGGGAAAUGUAGCGAGGAUGUGACCUGCUACAAGUGUGGAAAGGUUGGACAUUUUGCCAAUGAAUGUCCGAACAACAAAAGGAUGUGUUUUGGGUGUAAUGAAGAGGGGCAUAUUUUGAAAGACUGUCCGAAGAAGAAGGAGGCAGCUAGGCCCAACAUUCCACCAAAGCCGAAGGCGAGAGCCUUCCAGAUGACACUUGAGGCUGCGAAAGAUGAAGCUGAUGUCGCUUCAGGUACCUUUCUCGUAAACGAAUUACCUGCUCAUAUAUUGUUUGAUUCUGGAGCCAACUACUCCUUUAUUUCGCAUGAGUUUGGUAGAAAGCUAGCUUUGCCUGUUGAUAGACUAGAUAAUGCUUUAUUAGUCGAAGUAGCUAGUGGCAAGUUUGUACCUGUUAGCCAUCGUAUGAAAAACGUCUUGAUCGACCUUAAUGGGAAUAAGUUUCUCGAGGAAUUAUUGCCUAUCGAACUAAAUGGUUUCGACAUCGUCUUGGGAAUGGAUUGGCUUAGCGCCAAUGAUGCCGAAAUUUUGUGCAAGAAGAAGAUAGUUAAAGUAAACCCGCCUGGGAAAGAUUCGUUUAUGGUGUAUGGGGACAAACGCAGAGUGAAUUCUGGAAUCAUUUCUCUAAUGAAAGCCAGAAAGUGUUUGACCAAGGGAUGUACAUCAUAUUUAGCAUUCGUGAUUGAUGCUAAGAAAGAAAAGAAGGUGAUGCAGAGCAUUCCAGUGGUGUGUGAUUAUCCGGAAGUAUUUCCCGAGGAUCUUCCUGGAUUACCACCUGAUAGACAAGUGGAGUUCAGAAUAGACUUGUUACCAGGAACCACGCCAAUAGCAAAAGCACCUUAUCGAUUAGCACCGACGGAGAUGAAGGAGCUGAUGAUGCAACUUCAGGAGUUAUUGGACAAAGGUUUCAUUAGACCUAGUUCAUCGCCCUGGGGAGCUCCGGUGUUAUUUGUAAAGAAGAAAGAUGGAAGUAUGAGAAUGUGCAUCGAUUACAGAGAGCUGAACAAGGCAACAAUAAAGAAUAGAUAUCCGUUGCCGAGGAUUGAUGACCUGUUUGAUCAAUUGCAAGGUUCGAGCUAUUUCUCGAAGAUCGAUCUUAGGUCAGGAUAUCAUCAGCUGAAAGUAAGAGAGCAAGAUAUCGAGAAGACUGCAUUCAGAACUAGAUAUGGACACUACGAGUUCUUGGUUAUGUCGUUUGGACUAACCAAUGCUCCAGCAGCGUUCAUGGAUUUGAUGAAUAGGGUUUGUAAUCCUUUCCUUGAUAAAUCCGUGAUAGUGUUCAUAGACGACAUUCUGAUCUACUCGAAAAGCCAGGAGGAGCAUGGCAGACACUUGCGAGAAGUGUUAGAAGUUUUGAAGAAGGAGAAGCUUUAUGCGAAGUUCUCCAAAUGUGAUUUUUGGAUUCGUGAGGUCCAAUUCUUGGGUCACGUGGUCAACCAAGAAGGGAUAAUGGUUGAUCCAGCGAAGAUCGAAGCUGUGACGAAGUGGGAACAACCGAAAAGUCCCACGGAGAUUCGAAGCUUUUUAGGAUUAGCCGGAUAUUACCGAAGGUUUAUCCAAGGCUUUUCUUCGAUUGCUACUCCAUUAACAGCUUUGACCCACAAAGGAGCUACUUAUGCUUGGAGUGAGAAGCAUAAAGAAGCAUUCGAGAAGUUAAAGAAGAAGCUAUGCGAGGCACCGAUACUUUCUCUACCCGAUGGAGUUGAAGACUUCGCCGUUUAUACCGAUGCGUCUGGGGUUGGAUUGGAUUGUGUUUUGACCCAAAGAGAAAAGGUGAUAGUAUAUGCGUCUCGACAGCUGAAAGAGCAUGAAAAGAAUUACCCAACUCAUGAUUUGGAGUUGGCAGCGGUAGUUUUUGCUCUGAAAAUAUGGAGGCAUUACCUCUAUAGCACAAAGUGCAAACUUUUUAAUAAUCAUAAGAGUCUCCAAUAUCUCUUUAAUCAGAAGGAAUUGAAUAUGAGGCAACGACGCUGGCUGGAAUUACUUAAAGACUAUGACUGUGAGAUACUUUACCACCCCGGUAAAGCUAAUGUUGUUGCUGAUGCUCUCAAUCGGAAAGUCAAUCUUGAAAGGAAAAGGCCAAGAGCGUUGAGAAUUGAAUUUGUCUCAACCAUUUUGGAAAGUAUAAAGAAAUCUCAAAGCGAAGCUUCUGAGAAGAAUGACCGAAAGGAGGAAUGUUUGGGCAAAACGUUGGUGUUCGGUGUAAACAGUCAUGGACUGAAGGUGUUCCAAGAUCAGAUUUGGAUACCUAAGUCUAGAGGAAUCAGAUAUCUUCUGAUGGAAGAAGCUCACAAGACCAUGUACUCGAUUCAUCCGGGUAGCACUAAAAUGUAUAGGGACCUGAAACCCUACUACUGGUGGCCGACGAUGAAGCUUGAUGUUGCAAAGUAUGUGGCCGAGUGUGUGACUUGUGCGAGAGUCAAGACACAACAUCAGAAACCGUACGGGAGUUUAGAACCUUUGCCUGUGCCUAUGGGUAAGUGGGAAGACAUUGCUAUGGAUUUUGUCACUAAACUGCCCAGAACAAAGAAUGGUCACGACAUGAUUUGGGUGGUCGUUGAUCGAUUCACUAAGAGUGCGCAUUUCAUAGCGGCCAGGGAGAAAUGGUCUAUGGAGAAGCUUGCGAAUUCUUACCUAAAGGAAAUUAUGAGGCUUCACGGUGUUCCGUUGACGAUUGUAUUGGAUCGUGAUAGUCGUUUCACCUCGCGAUUUUGGAAAAGUCUACAAGAGGAAUUGGGUACUAAGUUGUGUUUACGUACAUUUUACCAUCCGCAGACUGAUGGUCAGAGCGAACGAACGAUACAAACACUUGAAGAUAUGCUGAGAGCAUGUACUCUGGAAUUCCUAGGUAAUUGGGAUGAACAUUUACCGUUGGUAGAAUUUUCCUAUAAUAAUAGUUUCCACUCGAGCAUUAAGAUGGCACCUUAUCAAGCUUUGUAUGGACAGAAGUGUCGUACGCCGUCUUGUUGGCUUGAGGCUGGGGAAAAGCAGUUUAUGGGACCGGAGAUGGUUCAUCAAACUGCUGAAAAGUUGAAAAUAAUUAGGGAAAGAAUGUUAGCAGCUCAAGAUCGUCAAAAGAGCUAUGCUGACAAGAAGCGAAGACCGAUGACUUUUGAGGUUGGAGAUUCGGUUUUGCUUAAAGUCUCGCCGUGGAAGGGACUUAUAAGAUUUGGUAAAAGGGGAAAGUUGAGUCCAAGGUUUAUUGGACCGUUUAAAGUUCUUCAGAGGAUUGGGAACCAAGCUUACAAGCUCGAAUUACCCGAAGAACUGAAUGGAAUUCACAACACCUUUCAUGUGUGUUAUUUGAGGAAGUUCACGGGAGAAGUUCCCGAUAUAAUUCCAAUUUCUGAAUUGAGAAUUGAUGAGAACAAAAGGUUGAUUGAAGAACCAGAGGCAAUUGUUGACCGAAAGACUAAGAAGUUGCGACGCAAAAUGGUUGGGUUAGUGCUUGUCCGAUGGAAACACACGAAUGGGCCGAAUCUCACCUGGGAGACGGAGAGUGACAUGUUGAGUCGCUAUCCGCAUUUGUUUGUUGAUGUGUGAUUCCGGGGACGGAAUCAUUCUAAGGUGGAGAGUAUUGUAACGCCUGUGUUUCCGGGCUUGCCAUUUUUAGCAAUGUAAUAGUCUAGGUUAACCUUUGUAACCCGUUUUGAAAUAAUAAGAUUGUAUUAUUUGAGUAUUAUGUGUUUUGUGCUUAAUUGCUUAAUUAUGUGGUUUGAUUAAUUAAGAAUAAAAAUAAGCGUCAAAAUUUAAGUGUAAAAUAAACUUAAUAUCUUUGGAUAAUGUUGUAGUAGUUGAAACGAGGUUUCCGAAUAUAUAUAGAACGCCCAAAUCUGACUUCGUAUGAGGAAGUUAUGAUUUAUCGAAGUUUCGGCUUAGCGGUAUGCAGCCUGAAAUACUCGAUUUGAGAUCGAGCGGUUUUUAGCCGAAGCAAUCUAAACGAGGAUCGAAGGUCUCGUUGUUGGUAUCGAAGCGAUAAAAAGUUAGGCGAGAACGGACGUCAAACGAAGAAGUUAUGAAUUUAUAACGAAGUUUUUCUGUCGCGGCCUAUUAAAAAUAAAUAAUAAAAAUAAAGUCAAAAUUAGCCGACGGAGUCUAAACGAAAGUUGUAGAGCGUAGUCUCACCUUCGCGUGGAUAUAAAGAACGUCGAAAACGGAGUUCGUAUGAAGAAGAUAUGAAUUUCCGAAGUUUAUUAAAUAAUUUGUAUUUAAAUUUAAUCUUUAAUUCGGAUGUAUAUCCGAAGGAGUCACCGAUCUGAUCCGAAGUACGCCCAGCGUACCGCGAAGCAUGACGCACCUCGCACUCAAGUGACUUCGGAUGACGAACGCCAUGGUGAUUUCGGACGAGUACGCCCUGCGUAAGGCAGUACGCCCCGCGUACUCCGAGGCUCCAGCCUCCUAUAAAUAGGAUGCGAGGGCAGCCGGUUCUUUUGCUAAUUUUCUCUCUUCUCUCUCCCGUUUUGCAUCGUUUUGCGUGCCAGAAAUACCCCGAAGCCCCGGUAUUAUUCUCGAGCCCCGAAGCAAGUCCCGAGAUCCCGAAGAUCCCGAGAAGUGCGGUUCCCGAGCCGAAGCUCUGCCCGCGAGAAGUUCGAUUUUUGUAGAGAUCUUCCAGAUCUGCUGAGGAUUACUACUUCUGCAAGCCGUAGUGCUGUCCGAUCAUCUUCUGAUCAAGUGAGUGUAUACUACCUUUCAUAAACACGAUAAUAAUACAAGUAUGGUUUGAGUGUAUUAAGUAUAUUGUUGUUUAUGUGUAUAAUUUUGUUGUUAUAAGUAUGAAUGUAUAUUCAUUCUCUUCUAUCUCAUAGAUCUGAUUUACUUUCUAUGAAAUACGUGUUAUGUGGGUGUGCCUCAUCUGUUAUGUGGAAUAUGUAUUGAAUGAAAAUGAUAUACAGGUUUUAAACUAUGUAUGAAAAUAUAUAUUUUUAUCUACUAAUAUGUUGGGUAGAACAUGGGUAGAUAGUUGGUGUGUAAUAAACAGAUGAGAGGCCUCGAUGUUGUUGUUGUUGUUGAUCUAGUUAUUCAGCGGAGUAUGGAUAACAACCACAGACUCUUUCUAGACAGUCCAGUGGAACGCUAGCAGGUUCAUAACCUGUAGGUGUUGUGAACGAUGUGUUCACCGGUGUACUCUAUCCCCCUCAUGGUUGCCUUUAGGAUAUCUAUUGUUGAGGAAACCCCUUAGCAAUGAUGUCCGUCCCGAUGAAAAUCCUAGAUUAGGUCCCUUGAGAUAGUUGUUAUUUUAGGGACGUAAAGGGAGGAUAACGGGAAUGGGUAAUCGGGAUAGUGAUUGGUUGGUGAAAUUAAAUAUAAUUUAUUUAUUGUGGGUUGAAAACCCUAUAUGCUCACCAGGCUCCCAAGCCUGACCCACUCAGUUUUAUUUGUAUUAUAGGUAGUGGCGCGAGGGCAUAAGAUGGUUGAAUCAUCAAGUUGUUUUGUUUACAAGUCUGUAUAUGUAUAUAUUUGUUGAAUGACUUGUAAUGUUAUCGUUUAUGCUUUAUGGUCUGUAUCGGAACAUGACAUCCCGAGUUUUGAUUAUAUAAUGAAAAUGCAUCUCUUGAUGAAAUGCUUUGAUAAAUAUUAUUUUAUCAUGUUUUGUUUUGGGAACAAAUUCCGCAACUCUUUCAAAUCAAAAGGAUUUACUAUGAAAUUAUUUAAAAGCAUAAAUGAAAUCGGUCUUUUCUGGCCGAGAUUUUGGGGAUGU
rnacentral:lncRNA from 1 species